rnacentral:lncRNA from 1 species
UUAGUGAGACCCGGCAGCAAGUGAAUCUGAGAAGAAGAUUUUUUCCCUUCCCGAGUAUUCAUGUAGGCAACUAUACACGGAGGCUGUUUCUCAGGGAGGAAGAAGAUAAGGUACUGGAAGAGCCAUGGUCUCUGCCACGGCAAUCCUCAGAACCUGGAUGUUCUGUGUUGGGAAUUAUUACUCAAGGAACAACAAAACAUAAUAAAAAUAAUUCACCAUGAAUGAUUCCUCUAUGAAGUCUGUGAAUAACGUGGAAAGCGAUGGUGAUGUUUGUUAAGUGAAGAAAAUAGACCCUGGAAUUCCUUAUGUGAGGGAGGCUGCCAUGUUCCUGGUGGAGUACUGGUGUGGGCAGUCAGGAAGAUGGCCACCACCCCUCACCAUGGACCUGGGGUGAUUUGAAUUGAAGAAACUGCACUUUAAAAAUUAAUAAAAUGUUCUGUUCAAUCUGGUUCUUAAAGA